UUGUAAACAAAUCUGUAUGUUUUUUGUCUAAUGUUAAAUAAUGUUAACAAUAAAUGGCAGAGGUACAUAUUCUUGGAAAUAUUAAAACUGCAAAAGGAUUUCCCAAGCAAAACUUAUUUUGUAACUGGAGCUUUCAAUUUGGAAAUAACUGGAAUCUAAUUUCUGGAAAAGCUGAGGGGAAAACUUUUUGUUCCUCGUCAGAAGUAGAUGAAGUUUGCUACUGGAAUUUACCAUUCGAUCUUCAUUUUGCUAUAAGUGGCAUUGUAGGUUGGCCAAAGCUUUAUCUUCAAAUUUUUCAUUUAGACUGGGUAAAGAGAAGCCACUUGUAUGGCUACGGAUUUUUAAACGUUCCUACAUCCCCAGGUUUACACAUUUUAGAUUGUUAUACCUGGAGGCCCCUCGGUAGUUUAAAAGAAAGAUUUGUUCAAUUUUUCAUUGGGGGUUCCCCCCAACUUAAAAACCCAGAUUUAAUAUCGUCUCUCGAUGACAGACACAAAUUGAUUACCGAAAGUAUGGGCAUAGUGACUGUAGAACUUAAUCUGGUAACCAGAAAUUUUCAAAAAUACGGAAUUGAAUACAACUGAUCAAUAUUACGAACAAAUAAAACAAUGACGAUCUCUUGGUGCCUUUUUUGGGCUUCGAUCGGUUUAAUAGUGGUACUAAAAGUUGACAGUCACUCUGGUACUGAAAUUGAACUAGAAAAUAGUAACACUUCAAGUGAUUAUGCAGAAUCAACAGCUACUGAUGAUUAUUUAACAACGAAUUCUUAUGAUUCUACGACUUGUUCUGCAAAUGGUUCUUGUGGUUUAACAACUCCAAAGUUUACUACUCAAUCAACAGUUGCAACCACAACAAAAAAAAAUUCGAAAAAUUUGACCACAAUCAAAAGAAACACAUCAAUAAGUCGUAACAGAACUUCUUCAUGCAACUGUAACUUGCAAUUGAAUUAUUGUGAUAUAAAUUGUUGUUGCGACAAAGAUUGCAAUUAUGAGGAUAAAAUGGUCUUUGAAAAAUGCAAUAACGUAACAUACACCAAGCAGGACAUUCUUCCUUUUUGUAAUAGCGGGAUUAAUAAUUUUGAUUUUCAUCGUGAUAAUAAAUGGUGGAUUUUCGAUAAUAAUUUUCUUUGCGUCGAAAGAUCAAAUAUGCCCGAAGGAUACAACUACAACAAGCAAAAAAAGUCGUUGAAAGCACUUGAAAUUCUACAGCCUUAUUAUAAAGAUGACCAGCGUUAUUGGCCAAAUACCGACAAUAAUGUUAUUAAUAUUAAUUUUAACAAAAGCUUUUCCGAAAAAUUGAAAUUUGGUGGAAACGUUUGGCUUCUGAAAGACAACGAAAUUGUUUCCUUCGUUAUGUCGGACUCGUUUAUUACAAGUGCUUGUCUGAUAAAAAAAGAUGUAAAAUAUUUGGUGGAUGAUACCACGAGGUGCAGUUUAACUUCAGUUGAUAAUGAUAAUACUAAUAUUCAUGCAGAAACAUUUUAUAAGAAUUUGGUCUUUAUAUCAUCGCCUAAAGCUUUCAGUGUUUUAUGGGAUCGAAAAAAACAACCGAAAUGCCCGAAAAAUGUUUGCAUUUUUCCUAAGGUUUCAAUUUGCGACGAGAAUUUCGAAAAUUGUAAAGAUAAAUUAAUUGGUAAAGGCAAUUGUUCUUAUUCUUAUCGCGAAAACUUAAUGACUUGUAAAAAUAUCGUGAAAAAAAUAAUUUACGAAAUAUUCCAUAAGGGACAGGAGGGAAUAAUUCGGGUUAAUUUAAAAAUUAAUUUGCAAAACUUUUCGUACCCUUUCGGAUCCGAGGAUAUCGACUAUUUUCAAGAGUUUUCGGUGAAAUUUUAUUGGCACAAUUACCAGCUUAAUUAUUCCAAUUUAAUGAGCGGUAACCCGGGUUAUUUAAUCGGUAAACCCAUUCUGGUAACUCGUCUAAAUGGUACAUUUAAUUUUUCCGAAAUCGAAAACGUCAAUAUGUCUUUAUCGGUGUUGAGAAAUGACACAUUUUAUUUGGAAAAUUUCUUGGCUUUUCCUUCGUACAGUCAUAGACGUUGCGUUUUAAAUAAUCGGGAAAACACCCCAGUCGAAUUCGGAUAUAAUACGAUUUUGAAAUGUAGAAUAGAGGAACAAAUUAUUUCCAAAAACAAAUCGGCAAGCGAGAUAUGCAGAAACAUGCAAAAAAUUGUUUUCCAAUUUUGGUCUGUCUUCGAUGACAAUAACACCACGCGCGUUUUCGGAAAAUAUGGAAAUUCGGAUCGGACUAAAUCAGGCGAUUGGAUUAGCGGGUUUUUUACGAAAAGCUAUCGGAAUAUAAUGAACGUAACCCACGGCAAUUUUACCAAAAAUAAUAAAACUUUAUUGUGCUCCAAUUUGAAUACAAAACUUCGUGUGAACAUUUUCCAUUCGCGUAUCGAUUUUGAUGGAACUCAAAAUCAAGAAAUUGUAUUAGGAAUGCUAUUCAAUUUUACUGGGAUAAAAACUGGCCUGGAAUAUCAAAAUGGGAACAACAAAAGUAUAAUGUUUUCAACCCCUAUUGUGAUGGAGGUUGUUUUUCACGACAUAACUUCCAAAAGUGACCAGCAAACGAUGGAUGACAAUUUUGUUUCAUUGGAAAACAAAAAUUUACCUCACGAAUUUUUUUAUUCUCUUACUGGUGUCGUAAAAAAUGACGCAGACCUAAAUUUUAUUCUCAAUACAGUGCACUAUACUUUACUAAUUAUUUUGAUAAGAUAUUUGUUCUAAUUGUAAAUUGUAAGGCACAUUUAA
rnacentral:misc_RNA from 1 species